rnacentral:rRNA from 1 species
GACGAACGCUGGCGGCGUGGAUUAGGCAUGCAAGUCGAACGGUAUCAUCCUUUCGGGGGUGAGAGAGUGGCGAACUGGUGAGUAACACGUAGGUUAUCUACCCUCAAGACGGGGACAACCCAGGGAAACUUGGGCUAAUACCGGAUGUGAGCAACUUUUAGUUGUUUGAAAGGUGGCGUAAGCUGUCGCUUGGGGAUGAGCCUGCGUCCUAUUAGUUAGUUGGUGAGGUAACGGCUCACCUAGGCAAUGAUAGGUAGGCGGCCUUAACGGGUGGUCGCCCACACUGGGAUUGAGAUACGGCCCAGACUCCUACGGGAGGCAGCAGUCGAGAAUAGUCUACAAUGGUCGGAAGACUGAUAGUGCGACGCCGCGUGAACGAUGAAUCCCUUCGGGGUGUAAAGUUCUUUUAUAUGUGAGCAGUGCUUCUUAUAUUAACAGUAUGGGGAGAGAGAUAUUAGCAUAUGAAUAAGCAACGGCUAACUCCGUGCCAGCAGCCGCGGUAAACUCGUG